UGGGGAAUAUUGCACAAUGGGCGCAAGCCUGAUGCAGCCAUGCCGCGUGUAUGAAGAAGGCCUUCGGGUUGUAAAGUACUUUCAGCGGGGAGGAAGGGAGUAAAGUUAAUACCUUUGCUCAUUGACGUUACCCGCAGAAGAAGCACCGGCUAACUACGUGCCAGCAGCCGCGGUAAUACGUAGGUGGCAAGCGUUGUCCGGAUUUAUUGGGCGUAAAGCGAGCGCAGGCGGUUUCUUAAGUCUGAUGUGAAAGCCCCCGGCUCAACCGGGGAGGGUCAUUGGAAACUGGGAGACUUGAGUGCAGAAGAGGAGAGUGGAAUUCCAUGUGUAGCGGUGAAAUGCGUAGAUAUAUGGAGGAACACCAGUGGCGAAGGCGGCUCUCUGGUCUGUAACUGACGCUCAGGUGCGAAAGCGUGGGGAGCAAACAGG
rnacentral:rRNA from 1 species